GGAUCAACCUCAUGGGCUCCCAGGGUAUAUAAGGGAGCAAGGUCUGAAUGAAGUGAGCUGCUGCUGCAUGAACUCAGUGUGUCUUGUCACUGGUCUGCCUCCGAAGCUGUGACAAUUGGUGGACUCUGAUGUGAUUGCAACAGCUGCUGCCAACAGAGCGGGGACACAGACAGGGCAACCAGGAGGAGCUGCCUGAAGCCUUUGAGCUGCAAGGAGCGGCGUGAACAGUGCCAUGGGGCAACCAGGACGAGUUGCCUGCAGCCUUUGAGCUGUGAAGAAUGGCAUAUAGAGUUGUGAUUGGUCCAGAACCCCCUCCUUUUAAUUUUUCCUCUAAUUUUUCUUUUUUGUAAGUGGAAGACACCACCAGCAUGGAAGCAUGGGCUUCAACACCAGAGGACCCUCUCCUGAAGAUCGUGCUGUUCCUGGGGCCAUCAGCGAAACCACCCCAAGCAGCCGUGCUGUGUUAAAUGGGUACUCUACAGCCCCUCCGUGCCCUGCCAUGGCUGCCAAGGCCUCUGAAACAACUGGCCACUUUCCCACUCUGCGCUCUGCUGCCCCUUGUUCUGCCGUGCUGGCAGAAACCUCCGUAACCACCCACGACCAGCGUGCAUGGUCAACAGGGUGCACUGCCGCUGAUGCAGAGAAACCCUGAGUGCACCAGAACCACUUCCUCCCGAGACCAACUGGACCAGCUCCAAGACCACAGCCUCAAGCCCCCCUCCACGGGGCGUGCCUGCGUUUUCUGCCCAGUCUCCAAGGGGUGGGGAUGUACCUGCCCAUCCCCAUGACAUGGAGGUGGGCCCGAGAAAUGCGUCACCAGGAGUGCUCAGAGACCUCAUACAUGGAAGCGGUGCUGCUGUCCCAAUCACUCCAAUGCUGCUGGAACGUCAGUUUUCCCUAAAUUAUACACCAGCUAAGAACACAACAUACACCAGAGAAGAUGCCUCUGCCACUGCUGAGCCACGACAGCGCAGAACUUUCCCUUUCGACCCUGGCGGGUCUCCCCGUGCCAAGCCUAAAAUUGCGUUCUCAGUUAUCCAGAAUUAUGCAGACAUAUUAUUUAAGGAUAAAAGCUGUUAGACAAAAACUAGCCAGCCAAAGGUACAAAUAAAGUUCUAAAGCUUAUAGGGUUAUUAAGAAAACACCAAAAGUUAACGUACUCAAUAUGCUUGUAAAAGAAAGCCUUAUGCACAUUAUUCUCAAAAAAUAUUCAUGAUAUUUACCUAGACUUUAUCACUGUAUAUCUAACUAGACAUACCUUGUGAUAACUCCAAAUAAUGGCCACAUAACACUUAACUUUGUCACUUUCAGUUUAAUGAUUAUUCAUAAUCCUUCAAGGAAAAAUACACCUUGGGCCAUCAAUGGGACCCUGAGAAUGACAACUCACUUGUAACUUUACUCAAAUACUUCAAGAAUCAAAUAUUUUAAAGACUUUACAAACACAAAGAUGCAUCAUUUUUGCUCAUGUGCCAAGAUGUGGCCUGUGAAACCUAAGACAUGCAAUGCUUCUUUUGAUAAUUUUGAAUUGGUCUUGUAAAUAAUACUUUCCGAAGCAGUCGCUUACCUCACUAAAUACAAUUCUUACAGCUAUAAGGUGCGUUACACCACUAAUAUCCCCUACACAGUACUUAGAACAUACUCUUUAAACAGAAGAGGGGGAAUGCCUGGUGCUGUUUAUACCCUAAAACAGGUGACACUGAU